rnacentral:rRNA from 1 species
GUAGGUGGCAAGCGUUGUCCGGGAAUUAUUGGGGCGUAAAGCGCGCGCAGGCGGUUCUUUAAGUCUGGAUGUGAAAGCCCACGGGCUCAACCGUGGAGGGUCAUUGGAGACUGGAGAACUUGAGUACAGAAGAGGAAAGCGGAAUUCCACGUGUAGCGGUGAAAUGCGUAGAGAUGUGGAGGAACACCAGUGGCGAAGGCGGCUUUCUGGUCUGUAACUGACGCUGAGGCGCGAAAGCGUGGGGAGCAAACAGGAUUAGAUACCCUGGUAGUCCACGCCGUAAACGAUGAGUGCUAAGUGUUAGGGGGUUUCCGCCCCUUAGUGCUGCAGCUAACGCAUUAAGCACUCCGCCUGGGGAGUACGGCCGCAAAGGCUGA